rnacentral:rRNA from 1 species
GAUCAACGCUGGCGGCGUGCAUGAGACAUGCAAGUCGAACGGACGAUCAAAGCUUGCUUUGAUCGUUAGUGGCGGACGGCUGAGUAACGCGUGGGUGACCUGUCCCGAAGUGGGGAAUAACUGCCCGAAAGGGUGGCUAAUACCGCAUGUGGUGAUGUGUUCAAUCGCAUCAUCAAAGCCGUAAGGCGCUUCGGGAGGGGCCUGCGUCCGAUUAGCUCGUUGGCGAGGUAACGGCUCACCAAGGCGACGAUCGGUA